UUCUUUAGUAGAAGGAUAACAUGACAUAGCAGGAAUAAUACUGCCUUUUCUUUCUGGCAUGGAUCAAGAGAAAAGAAAAUACAAGAAAACAGACAGAAGAUCCUAUCUGCGACAAUUAAGAGCACUCUAAGAGGAAAACACAUCCCACCACACAAGGCAAGGUACUUCUAUGGAAGGGUGAGCCCUCACAGAUGGAGCAAUGGGGCGCGCACACCUGAACAAGGGAGGGGAAGGAGUUCUUAUCCCUGAUGCAUGUGACCCCUGCUGCUGUGUCCUUCCCCUAUUGGCUAAGGCUUCUGACAGCUUUGGAGAUUGUGACAUUGGAAUAAAGGAAAAACGUACAGGACUCAUGAAGCGCUGAAAUGUUCACAAAUAUCAAGCAAAAGUCAAUGAAAUUUAUUUUGAGCUAUUUACAUCAUUUAAUAAUUGAGCAAGGUAUACUCCUAUGAACAAAAUUUGGAGCAUGUUUGUCUCUCUCUGCCUGGCGUCUUCAGAAUUUGGAAACUAGUUAGUCAUGGAAAUUUAUUUUGAGCUAUUUACAGCAUUUAAUAAUUGAGCAAGGUAUACUCCUAUGAACAAAAUUUGGAGCAUGUUUGUCUCUCUCUGUCUGCCUGGCAUCUACAGAAUUUGGAAACUAGUUGUGCUGUACUGCAUGAGAAUGCCUGCAUUUAGUAUGCGAACUGGAAUUGGCAAAGGACGAUGGCUGCUCUCCCGCUAACUUUAAAUAAGUCAUGUCACAAAUUGCAUUCGUUCCCAGAUUUCCUAAACUUUCCAGAGAAAAUGGUCUUCUCCCUGGCUCAGCAAGAAGAUGAACUUUAAACACUGAGAAACUGGUCAUCUCCCUGGCUCAACCAGAAGAUGAACUUUAAACACUACUCUCAAUGACUUGAUGUUCCCAUCACUACUCCUGUCAUAAAGGGAGGGGACUCAGAUAUUGAGAAUUUUAUGAUAGUGUGAACUGUCUGGUAUGUCAUUUAAGUAAGCCCGUUGCUGAAAUAUUUUCCAUGUUAUUAGAAAGAGCUGAAGAGAGGGAUUGAGAUGGCUUCUUUAUUUUUUGUCUUUUGGGAAUUAAAGGAACCUGGUUCAACAAGGGCCUACACCUAAGUCUCUUGUUGUACCAGAGUACAAUUUAGGACUGCUCCUGAGGAAGGAAUUAGCUAGAAAUCUAGAGAGUAAGGGUAACAGAUUUACAUAGAAUAACAGCCUCAGUAUUUUUGGUUCCUCUCCAGUAAAGAUCACAAAGAAUAUUGCUAAAUCGCUAAAACACCUUUGCAAUAACGUAAGGGCUUACAACUAUAUACCAAUGUAGCUCAGUUACUAAACUGGAGUAAACUAAUUUCUCUUGUGUAGAAAAAUUGGUUGGCUGUGGUUUUAUAGCAGAUCUGCAAUUAUUAAUAGUUAUGCCAAUAAUCGUUUAACAGUGCAUAUGUUAAUAUAUAUGGAAAGACAAUGUGUAUAGACAGAUGUGUAAAAUUGAAAAAUAAACAUAUAACAAGAGAGAAACAUCUAUCGAACAGACAAUAUACAUACACAUCAAACACAACAGCAGUUUUAGUGACCAUAAUAUUUAUUUCUCAUUUUUACAUUGCUUACUUUAGUGACAACUGAAAAUGACAGUUGGCAAUGCAGCUAACAGUUUCAAUAAAAGUAUAAAACAAAAGACUGUGUACAAAGCACCUGUCUUUCCGCUUUUGUAAUCUUCCGUUGGAAAAAAUUUACACACCUAAGUAACCAUCUGUUUUCUUCAAGAAAAAAUCAUUCUUAUUUCUCUCUCUCAUCUUGAAAACAGCUGUCAGCCAGGAGGGCAGAGCUGAAAUUUAUUGCCACAUCACAUGAAGCAUAGAACAGACUCCACUACUCCUUGAGAUUCAAAACUUUGCCUCUCACAAAGUUACCUUUUAUUUUCCUCUUGUUUGUCACUCAUCUCCCCUAGUGUGCUCUUUUUAUUUCUUUUACUAUUAAUAAUAAAAUCUGUGGAUGACUGUAUUAU
rnacentral:lncRNA from 1 species